CAUACCACAUGAUACAAAGAAUAUGUUAGUAACAGGGGGAGAGAGCAGGAAUUGUGCAGUUUCCCCCCGGUUUCAACUGUUUCUGAAGGGAAGGGCUCUUACUCCUGAAUUCCUUCUAUGAGUCACAAGUUAAGUAUGCUCCUCCCAUUAUUUUGUAUCUCAGACUCUGACCCCCUUUCUUUAUCCUCAACAGCCAUCCCUUUUGGUCUCACUUUUCUGUCCUCCCUCCCAGUCCCCCUCCUGUCUAUCCAGCUACAAAUGUACAAACACCGCCUGAUAUCGCUUUCUUACCCCCUCUUCCAACUUUGGUGACUGGACCAACCAAACCCUCAAGACUGCCAUGGGCAAGUCCCUUGAUUGGUACCAGGAAGGGUGGGAGAACAACCUGAAGGUAAUUUUCUCUUUGCACACAGCAGCAUCCAGGCCUCCACCGACUGCGAACGUGAGCCGCAGCUGUUGACUGAGAUCACUGAAACUCCACCUGAUGUGGUGGAAGUUGUCAAACCCGAUCAGACCGCCUUAAAAGACCACCAUCAGGCGUAGACUGAGAAGGAUGUGGAGGUUUUUGACCAGAUGAGACUGAACAUGGACAAGGCACAGGAGAAACAGAAGGAGAGCUACCAGUGCAGACUCAAGAUGGGGACCAAGUGCUACGACAUGCUGGCGAAUGACUUGGUUUAGAAGAAGAACAAAAGGAAGGCGAGACCUGGGAAACCUCGCUGCUUUUUUGCUCCUGGUCACCAUCUGUUAAAGGUUACCUCGGUGGAAGCCAACAAUCUUCUACAGUUGGAGCAGCUGGACGGUCAACCUCUGAAAGCACUGACGCCCUACACUUCAGUGAAGCCCAAUAGACAAAGAUCAUAGUCUGCUUCUUCGUGCUCUGAGUCGGAGGGGGACCAGCUUGAGGAGCUAGGGGUUCUGCCUAACACCCAGACGUGGAUCCACCUGAUGUCCUACAUUACCAACCACCAUUCAAAUGUUCAUUACAUCGGCAAAUGUUGUCAUUAUCUGUUAUGUUUUCUUGCUCUAUCAUAAUGUGAGACCCAGAUGAACAAAAAAAAGAAACGGAUUUGCAUAUGAAUGGAGUGGAAAUUAGCUGACUUCGUAAUCUGUAAAGUAAAUAACUUUAAUGUGUCAAGCAGAUGACACUUUCUUUGCCAGUUCUGUAACGUAGCGAUGUUUAAGACAUGGAUUUCAUGUUGUAAUGUUAACAAGGUACCCAAAAGUAGGUUGAAUUAAUGUUUUCAUUUUAUUAGUUAAGCAACUUGUUCAAACAGUGAAAUUGUGGAGGAAAUCUGCCUUGUUUGCAUAGCGAUGAUGACAAGAAUGUCAUUUAGGCUGUAAUCUCAAACUCUAAUCAUUAGGUCAUCACACUGUUGAUACAGCAACGGACGCUAAUAGUUUUUAGAAUCCCGUUGUGACGCAGAGGAGGACACUUUUUGUCAUGACAGGCCCGAUUCCUUCCUUGGGCGGAGUAUGCCCAGAAUUAGUAGUGUCAUUCCUCCACCGGGCUGACUCCCUUCCAGUGUAUUCUGGGUUACCAGCCAGCCCUGGCACCAUGGACUCCAAGCCAGACCGAAGCGCCAUCCGCCUCAGAAGGAGCAGGCGGUUCGCCACAGCAGUGAGGCGUGUCGUGGAUAUUCUAAUCCAUAAUGAGGAGAGACAUGAACCAUUAACAAUCAGAUAUUCUUUAUUCAAAAAAUAUUAAUAAGGGAGCAAGUCACCAUUACACACAGAGUGAAUAGAGAGCUCAGAGAUUCUGAGUUGGGGCUUGCUUUGUAUAGCCCAACCUUGUUACAUUUACUUAAUCCACCACAACUGUCUCAAUGUGUCGAACCAACUGAUAUCUACUGGAUGAGGUGGCCAAAUAUUCUGAGUUCUCUUGUGAGUAUUAAGAACUGUUUGGUCUUAGAAUAGAGGAUAAGGAAAGACUUUGUUCAGAACAGAGAUGCCUCGUAUUUUGAACAUGCAAGUUUUAGAGUAGAGGGUGGGGUUAAGAACACGAGACGUGCAUAGCCGUAGUGGAUUCGGUACAGAGUUAGGUGAAAACAGCAAUUUACACAACCAGAGUAACAUGAUAGUUAUGUACAAUCAUUUAAAGUAAUAAAUUGUUUUUUUCCCACAGGCGCCCAUGUUCGAUCCUGGUGAUCACAUCUGGCUCUCCAUCAGGAUCCUCCCACGCCGUCUGCCAUGCCAGUGGUUCCUGGUCCCCUGGCUGACGAUGUCCCGCACAACACUCCUCCACCUCUCCUGGACAUUGAGGAAGCCCCGCCUAUGUCAUGACUCCUGCGUCAUGGGGGGUCGGCUUCAGUACAUGGUGGACUGGGAGGCGUAUGGUCCAGAAGAGCGGUGUUGGGUUCCAGUGGAUGACAUUCUGUAUCCCAUUCUGGAUUUCACCUUCCGGAUCACUCCUCGCCCUCGGGGGGCCACACUCUCAUCAGUCACAACUGGACCUCAUUACUCCCUGCUUACUUACCCUUCUAAUAGCAAUCUUUUGUUACUAGUUUUCAGCAAGUAUUGUUUGUUUCCAUGUCAGACGCUUCUCUUGUUUUGUAUCAUUCCAUGUUCAUUGAUAUUAAACUCACUAACUGCACCUGCGUCUAUGUUACACCUUAUAUGUUGCGUUUAUAUUUUCAUUCAGUAUACAUUCCCAUGUGCAUCCCCAUAUUCAUCUUCCUUGGUGUGUUUAAAUAAAGUUCCUUUGUAACUCUAAGGCUGCUUUAUUUCCUUCUAACUGGGGG